CAGCAGCCACGGGAAUACGUAGGUGGCAAGCGUUGUCCGGAAUUAUUGGGCGUAAAGGGCUCGCAGGCGGUUUCUUAAGUCUGAUGUGGAAGCCCCCGGCUCAACCGGGGAGGGUCAUUGGAAACUGGGAAACUUGAGUGCAGAAGAGGAGAGUGGAAUUCCACGUGUAGCGGUGAAAUGCGUAGAGAUGUGGAGGAACACCAGUGGCGAAGGCGACUCUCUGGUCUGUAACUGACGCUGAGGAGCGAAAGCGUGGGGAGCGAACAGGAUUAGAUACCCGCGUAGUCCCUGUCUCUUAUAC
rnacentral:rRNA from 1 species